rnacentral:lncRNA from 1 species
GCUAUUUCUUUGGGUCGCUCCCGCGGCAUAUGGAGGUUCCCAGGCUAGGGGUUGAAUCGGAGCUGUAGCCACUAGCCUAUGCCAGAGCCACAGCAACGCGGGAUCCGAGCCGCGUCUGCAACCUACACCACAGCUCACGGCAACGCCAGAUCGUUAACCCACUGAGCAAGGGCAGGGACCGAACCCGCAACCUCAUAGUUCCUAGUUGGAUUCGUUAACCACUGCACCACGACAGGAACUCCUGAAUCAUUUUAAAUAAGAAUAUGUUCACCAAAAAAAAAAAAAAAAAAAAAAGUGUGUACUCACUUGGUGGUUCCAUCCAUCCCCGAUCAGUCAUCUCCACUUAUAUUUCCCUAAAGAUAGCAUUCAGUUGUGAAGCCAUUAGAAAGAUCUCAUGAGUUUACGGGUGGUUAUACACACCUGCAUGUUAUUUUCAGGUAAUAUUCUGAGCAAUAUUGCCUCUUUUUCUAUUCUCCUCUUCAAGAUCUCAAUCUUGCUGUUAUCUUGACCUUAUUUCCCUACUCCAGAAAGUUACACUGGAUAUUUGCAACCAAACUCUUCCCACUGGUUUCUUGAAUAGCCAUAUGAACCCAAAUCACAGUCUCCCACUAAAACACAAAUGCCUAAUUGAUGAAGGAUAAUUUAAUUUCCUGUGAUUGGGGCUCUGAUCUCUCUACCCCUCCUACUCCCACAAGAGUCAAAAUACUGCUCUUCUUAUCAGGAGGAAUGAAAACAAGCAUGGCAGACACUGUGCCCUAGAAUACGGAAGCCAAAAGAUGAGACAAAGUGCUGAUAUCUUGACCGGGGUCUGCUGUCCUUUUGAGUGACCUUGCCAAGUCAGAGAUUUUUCUUGCCCCUGUUGAAGCAAGAAAGAAUUGCUCCACCAUUAUAUUAGCUCCACCAACUUCAGCCCAUUAACUUGUCCUGCUUCCAUGUCCAAGAUCCAUCACUAGAGGAAUAACACUGCAGUAGCAAGAAAGGAUCUCCCCCCAAUGGUGCCCAUUUGCACUAUGACAAUUCAGGGACUUCCCAUAAAAAGAGAAUCAAAAAAAUUUAAAAGAUAGAAGAAAGGCUAAUGGAAGCUUGUACAUGUCCCAAAAAAAUGUUCCUAAGUCAUUUUGACAAACGCAGUACAUUGGAAAAAUUAUAAAGUUGAGGACUCAGAAAAAUAAGGGCAUAGUUAACUUUCUAAAGAACAAAGUCACAUUUGAAGGUUACUGGGAUAAUUCCAGUUUCAGCAUAUUCCCUAUGGAGGAAAAAUCUUGGUUCUUCAAAUAGAAAUGCUCCCUAGAUUUUCAGGAGUUAAAAACUUGGAUUUACUCAAAUUUUUAAGUUUACCCUCCGCCAAAAAUUUAAGCCUAUUAAUCAAAACCUGGGUUACAGCUGGUGUUAAUAAUACAUCUGUACUGCCAAUAACUGCUUCAAGCUUCAUUUGGGCAUGAUUAAGGAUAAUAGUAAUCCUUUAAAAAGUCCAUAGUUUAUUCUAUUUAAAACUACUGUUAGAGUAAAUGCCUUUUCAUUUUCCUAACUCCCAUCCAAUUAAUCUGAAAUCAAAUAUGCAUUUCUUUUGAUUGUGUCAAGUUUUACCUUUCAUUUUAUAUAACAAAGUAAUAAAUUUGAGUGUCUAGCAGAUAUGAAUAGAUUUAUGUAUUUUGGUUAGCAAAUCCUAUAAAAAUCCUUAAAACAUGCACAAUAGAAUUACAUUUAUGUCAAUGUCAUAUGUAAAAUGGCUUCAGCCAUCCUGGUUGAAGCUAAGAACUCACAAGUAAUUGAAGGUCAAGGUCUCUGGCACAAAAAGUAGAGGUCAUCUUGUUGCUACUGUAGCUGCCCAGUGGUCUUCAAUUGCUUCUUUACUGCCAACUAGUCACAGCUGCAUCCAGCCAAAGUCAUACACACUCUGCCAAGGUGUUGGUAGUCACUACUGCCAGUACCCUGGAAUGACACACAACUUUAAGAUAGCUUCUCACACUACCAGUUUCACAUAUUUCAUUAUCAUUCUACCACACAUGACUUCCUUGAAAAUGGUGAGACCUCCUCAGCAAGACUUCUUUCCCACCUUUAGCAGAACUCUUGGCUCUACUCAUUUCUUAUUGUACAUUCAAGGCACCCCUCCCAAGGCUUCAAGAGAAGGAAGAGGCCAGAUAAUGAAGUUAUCAGUGUUACAGCUUACACACUACAUAGCCCCACAAAAAUGCCAGUUAAUGACCCCAACAUCCUCUCCUGCCCCCUGCACCCAAUUUUCUUAAUAGAAGAACUACGGUCAACUUCACUGAAAGUCUCACUUCCAAAAUCAAAGCAUCUGUCAGAUCCUCCAAAUCUUCCAAGCUUCCACCAAUAGGGAAAUCUCUUGUUUGAUUCCUACAAUCAGCACCCCUAUACUUCUACCCUAUAACCACUUCCCUCAGUGUUCCUGCCCCCUCCCCCAAAAGAACAUGCAGAUUAUUGAGGCCACUGAGCCUGACAGACUGACGUUUCAGCCAGGCCAACUCCCCUCCCAGGUUUCUAAACAAAAUGUCUUGCUAAGUGGCCUCAGAACACUGGGUUACCCCAUUUACCACCCAACCACAUACAUCCUAGGACACAGGUCUUGCCAUGGGCCCACUGUGUGCAGGGCAACACCCCUCCCCUGACACCUAUAAAAUACUAACACCUGAAGCAACUAUGCCUGAGACAGGUUUAGGGAUCCUGCUGAUUGUGCAACAGGGGUGUGCCUCAGGCCUUCCUGUCUCCCAGCCAAAGACUCAGGGCACAGCAGACUUUCUAUGGGCACCCUUCUGCUAUGUAGGCCAGACCACACAUCAGACUCUGAUACAACAGGCACCAGUGGUUAUUAGUAAAAAGGUACAUCCAAAAUAGAAUUCUACUGAGGGUUAAGACUUCAGAUUUUGUCUUUCUAGGGCCACAUGUGCAGCAUAUGGAAGUUCCCAGGCUAGGGGUCGAAUUGGAGCUGCAGCUGUUGGCCUGAAACACAGGAUCCAAGCCAUGUCUGCGACGUACACCAUAGCUCGCAGCGAUGCCAGAUCCUUAACCUACUGAGUGAGCCAGGGUGUGAACUCACAUCCUCAUGGAUACCAGUCAGGUUAAUUGCUACUAAGCCACAAAAAGAACUCCAAAACUUCAUAUUUUAAGAGCUUAUAGCUCACCUCUAUCAUAUGUAAUCCACAGAGAGAGGUCCCCUGGGCAUAUCAAUCUGACCAACAAUGAUUUGACUGCCUAUAGAAGAUAGCACUCUGUGAAGCGUAAUUAAAGAUGUCUUUGAAAAUUUAUUAUAAAAUUCUGUAUUAAGGUAUUUAUUACUAAAGAAUUGAAACAUGUUAGAUUAUCAGAGAAGAGUACUACAGAUGGGCUUUAAGAAUGGGGGAAAUUUACACAAUUCCUAACCUUAACUCUACUUUAUCCAGUUUAUCUAAUUCUUAGUAUCUCAAGAGAAAAGAAUAAUUCAUCAUUCCUUGACUCUUUAUGUUCAUUUAUGUUCAUUUACAUGUUCCACAAAUUAUCUUUCUUAUGAUUAUCUCAAAAGUACGCUGUAAGAUAAAUUCCCAAAAACAAACAGACCUUACUCUUCAUCUCUCAUUUGCUUCUCUCAAUUCUCCAUUCUUCUCCCUGCUGGUUCCUCUGGGUGUCUUCUCGACCUCGGUUCCAGCUGGCUCCCCCUAACCAACAAGUCUGACACUAGCUUCACAUGAACAAAUCACCUUAUAACCAUGCUGCUUUAAGGCAUAUGGAUCUCUUCAAAAUAAACCAUUCAAGAGAAAUGAUUAUCCCUAAAGAUCUGAGUCCAAGGAUCCAUUGAAGUAAUCCCAGUGAGGAUUUACAAAAUUUUAAUUGUUUCAAAACAGGUGAGAUUGGCUUAAUUUUUUUAAGGGCAGAUGAAUUCAAAGGGUUUGAGCAUUCCCUGCCUAAGAGCACUUUUAUAUCACUAUCACAAAUUUGCAAGUCUUGAGAUAAUUACUAGUUGUUGCUUUUCUCUGAUUAUAUAUCUGUAAGUUGUUCUUAUGAGAUACUUUACACCUAUGACAGUGAAAAUCACCUACUUGCCUAGCCGGCUGUAAUAGUGAUAUGUUAUCUGGAAGCAAGAAAUCUGAAACCGUUUCAGAAGACAACAAAUAUUAGAGGCCUGAAAAUCUAACUGGGAGAGAGAGGUGUGAGCAGGGAAGAGGGAGCGUGCUGCCAGGCAGGACUAGAGCAAAGAGACUUGGCCCGCCCCCAAAGCAGGUGCCCCAGGGUGAGGAGCUGAGAGGAACCCAAGGAAACAGAAGGCCACUGAAGAUGCUUUCCAAACUCAGGCAACCCACUGCCCGGGCUUCUUCCCUCUUCAAACUUCCUCCUAAGUUUUUCCAACUGAGGUCCCUAGAGGAAGGAGAGGCUAUAAGGCAAAGGAUGAAAAUUAAUCAUGGGAUCUAUGAACACAAGAGACGGAAUGAAAGAACAGCAGAGCAAAGCUUACCAAUUAGUACCCCCCAAAGAAGAUCAUAGGAACAAACCAUGCACUCCAGCCUCUAAAGGAAGAUAGGAAGGAAGGAAUUGAAGAGGGAGGGAGAGAGGGAACAGAAUUGCAGAAGGAAAAACCAAAUGUUCUUUAGAAACCAUUAUUUAUGGUAUGAUCAGGAGUUCUUUGAUUUCAACUGUCUUCUACAAAACUAUUACAUCUAAAACUUGAUGUCUGGGUAAUUUAAGCAAUUUACCAUCGCUCCCAGGCAAACUGAAAUAUAUCAGGAAAAGGGACCUUGUGUGCACAUUUAGGUCCUUAGGUCCCUUAUAUAAGCUCUUUGUAGCAGAUAAGCAGCCAACGUUGAAAACUUCCGUUGUGUAGAAUUCAGACCUAAAGAUGUAGCUGAUGAUCUUUUCCAUUUUCAUUUUUUAAAAUUCCAUUGUCCUUCUAACAGAAUUAGUGAGAUUAAAAGAAAAAAUGCUGUGUUCAUUUACUUUGUUAUUUUUUUUACUUUUUUCACCUAAAGGCUGAUAAACAGACUUCUCCAGCCCUUCCAAACUUAUAGCAAAUGGCCCAGUGCCCUCUAUCGGCCUUUCUGCCACACUGCUUCCCUGUGGCCUCUGCAACUACUUGGGUUGUUUUCAAACAUUCUGCAGACACAGCUCCGCAGAUAAAUUAGCAGCUUAAGAAGAGUGCUGUUUGGAUGGAACACAAAUCAUUUGACAAACAAAAGAAAAAAUAGGUAUAAUGGACUCUAAAAUCAAGCAGUAAAAUUACUUGCGGUAGGGUCAAUGUUUAUGUCACUUUCCUCUUUCAGAAAAAGAUUUAAUUUGAUUUUUCUUAAAAACAGAUUUGUUACAU